AGUCCGAAUACUCCAGCUCCAUACUCUACCGACCUGGAAAAAUUGCCUAUAUGCAUUGAGACUUGAGUAGUAGACAAUUAUAUCAGAUUAUCAGGGAACUAAUAAUUACUUUGGGGCGAAAAAUAGCAAAUUCGGUAGCAAUGGUUUGGAUAAUUGGAAGGUCAAGAAGAUGCAUCCCAUUGGCUAAAACCCUAAUUUCUAAAACCAACCCACCACCCUCAUUUCGUCAUCUCCUUCUUCCCUCAAAUUCACUUUCCACAUCAUCAACAAAACCACUUAACAUUGACAUCAAGAAGAAGUCAUCACCAUUUGAAUCUAAUCUUGUUCGCAUGCUUACCGACGAGAUCGAUUUCGAGUCUGAUUACUCCCCUCCUCAUCAGCCUGACAAGAAGUUCAAUGCGUUUAUGGUGGAAGAUAGACCCGGAGAGCAGUUUGUUACUUUGCUGGGUAGAUCUACACUGGAUGAAAAUAUUAAAAUUGAAGCUACAAUGUUUGAUGGUUAUGCCACUGUAUCUCCCAACCUGAGGGGUGAAAAUGCUGAACCCAAUCCUCAACUUCAUAUAAGUUUGCUAAUUGAUAUAUCAAAAAGUGAAGGAAGCAACAUGCUGGAAUUUGUUUGUUCUGCUUUGCCAGAACGUUUGGAGAUUCAGAAGGUUUAUGCAAUUGGGCCUGAUGGAACACUAUCUCGGCCCUAUAUGGGUCCUGAUUUCAGGGGUUUGGACAGAAGGCUUCAGAAUGCACUUUAUGAGUUCCUGAAUGCAAGGGGAGUAAACAACGAGCUUUCUAUCUUCUUACAUCGUUAUGUGUGGAACAAGGAUAAACUCGAACAUUUACAACGCUUGAAGCUUCUCAAAUCUUACAUUGAGAGAUAAGUGUUCCCCCGUUUUCCUUAAUUGGUACAGCUGCUGCUUUCCUUGUGGAAAACUAUGCAUUACUAAAGCAGCUUUACAAUUGCAUCACAUGAUACAUAAUAGAUUAGACAGCGAAAAAUCCAGGUCUUAUCAGAAGUUUGUGAGAACGUUAUGACAAAAACUAUAAGAUCCCGAUAAAAGAAGCGUACAAUGAAAUUAUCCAAGCAAGAAACACACACAUAUAUGGCUCAUUACUCAUUAGUCUUCCAUUGUGACAAGAAAAUAGGUCAUGCUUAUGUGUCAAUUAUAUCUUGUUCAAUAAGGUAUAUUAGAUAUAUGGGGGAAGUGAAGGUGUGAGACAACACCACCCAACUUGGGUGUAAUUCCCCUCACGUUCAAUUUUUUUAAUAUAUCUUUAUACUUUUCUUUAAUUUUGUACAAAAUAGAUUAAAAAGUGUUGAUCUGAGAGUGGAUCACACCCAAGUUGGGUGGUGUUGUCUCAUAUCUUCACUUUUCUUUAGAUAUAUAUAUAGGGGUGGGUUAAAUAGGGGACAAGCAAUCAAAAAAGUACAAGGGGAUCAAUCUCCAGUUCUCCACCGUUGGAUCUAGAGAUCGGAUGAAUAAAUGACGCAUCUCCGGCGACAUCUCCGGCCAUCUUCAUCGGAUCUAAUCAUCAUUGAUUAUCUCCCGCGACAUCUACGGUCAUCUUCCUUUCCGGCAGCGGCGACGACAACAUCUCCGACAAUCAUCAGUUUCAUUUUCCGGUGGAUACGGUACGGGCAUUGCCCUCAUCCGUUCUCCGUUCUAAAGUGGUUGUCACCGGACGCAUAUGGGAAUUGUAUAGAUUUGAUGGCCGGCGAUCCAAGAGAUGGCGGCGGUUUGAUACGGUACAGGCGUAGCCCUUGCUGUCGGCGCCGUGGUGGUCGGAGAUGAUGAUGGUGGUGGCGGUGGUUGUCUCGUCGGAGAAUAAGGAAGGAGGAGGUGGUGACGGUCGCCAGAGAAGGAGGUGGUGGCGGCGGCUGCUGUUGUCUCGCUGGAGAAGAAGGAAGAAGAAGGAAGAUGCUUGAUCGGAUGGUUGCGAUGGAUCCCCUGGUACUUUUUUUUUUACCCCAUCCCCUAUAUAUAUACUUGUAUAUAUGUCAUACAACAGUAGCUUGCAGCCUUGCAAUACUCCGUAAGAUGUACCGUAUAUAUGGCAAUUUGCAAAAGUAAAACAUAAAUUUUUAUAGUUGA